UACGAAGGGGGCUAGCGUUGCUCGGAAUCACUGGGCGUAAAGCGCACGUAGGCGGCUUCUUAAGUCAGGGGUGAAAUCCUGGAGCUCAACUCCAGAACUGCCCUUGAUACUGAGGAGCUCGAGUCCGGAAGAGGUGAGUGGAACUGCGAGUGUAGAGGUGAAAUGCGUAGAUAUCAGGAGGAACACCGGUGGCGAAGGCGGCUCUCUGGACGGAUACUGACGCUGAGGCGCGAAAGCGUGGGGAUCAAACAGG
rnacentral:rRNA from 1 species